rnacentral:rRNA from 1 species
GUGACUGCGUACCUUUUGUAAAAUGGGUCACAGACUUAUAUUCUGUAGCAAGGUAAGCCGUAAAGGGGAGCCCAAGGGAAACCGAGUCUUAACAGGGCGUUAAGUUGCAGCGUAUAGACCCGAAACCCCGUGAUCUAGCCAUGGGCAGGUUGAAGGUUGGGUAACACUAACUGGAGGACCGAACAGACUAAAGUUGAAAAAUUAGCGGAUGACCUGUUGAUGGGGGAGAAAGGCCAAUCAAACCGCGAGAUAGCUGGUU